AAACUAUGGUGAGGGAAUUUCCUCAAUAGGUCUUUGAACCUUUCAUGUGCUUUAAAAAGUAUUUCAGAAAUCACCUUGCUUGAUCAAGAAAUCUCUUGUCUCAGUCU